UGUCAGUAAGAACCCCUCAGUGUAUAUCUACAACAAGAACAGCCAGGCAGAGUUGAAGCAGGAAGUCUGUAAACCUGUUUUCUCUUUCAAAUAACUUUGGCUAACCUGGAGGUUUUUGUUUAAAACCGGUCUGAUCGUCUGACUGCUCGUGUUUUUUAGCCUGUCUGACUUCUUCUUAGUGAUAUCGCCAGAUCUCAUCAAUGAACUUGGCGUGGCAGUCCAUAUCUCUCCUACACACCUGCAACCAACCACUCAUCAAGCCCUUGCCGCCAGUUCCCCUGCACACCUGCGGUUCAUCCAAUCAUCCAAUCGUCUGCCUGCCUACCAGCCUGGUUUCUGUGACCUCCCCAGCCUGUCCGUCUUCCCUCCCUCCCUUCACCGCGAGACUUCGAGUCAGCCUCUCAAACCCCUCUGCUCCCAGCGUUGUGAAAUAAACUGUUUAAACUUAGA